rnacentral:rRNA from 1 species
UACGUAGGGAGCGAGCGUUGUCCGGAUUUAUUGGGCGUAAAGCGCGCGUAGGCGGCUCGGUAAGCCGGAUGUGAAACCUCCAAGCUCAACUUGGAGCGGCCAUUCGGAACUGCUGUGGCUAGAGUCUGGUAGGGGAACACGGAAUUCCUGGUGUAGCGGUGAAAUGCUUAGAUAUCAGGAGGAACACCAGUGGCGAAGGCGGUGUUCUGGGCCAGUACUGACGCUGAGGCGCGAAAGCGUGGGGAGCGAACAGG